rnacentral:rRNA from 1 species
AUGACGCUAAGCAGCUGGGUGUGCCUUGCAGCGCCGCUGCUGCUGAUGAUGUCGGCGGCGGCGGUCGCUGGGAAUCCGGCCAUGCCGAUUGGGCAGCCCAACUGCAACACCACCUGCGGCAACGUGAGUGUGCCUUACCCGUUCGGCAUGGGGUCGGGCAGGUGCUACUGGCCAGGGUUCAAACUCAGCUGCCACCACGGAAGCAAGCCCCAAGGCUGCUCCUCGGCGACGGCGGUGCUGGUACGUUUGAGGUCGUCGACAUCUCCCUGCAGGACAAGUCGAUGCGCGUCGUCAGCCGCGAAGUUCAUGCCAUAG